CCUACGGGAGGCAGCAGUGAGGAAUAUUGGUCAAUGGCCGGAAGUCUGAACCAGCCAUGCCGCGUGAAGGUCAGUGCCCUAUGGGCGUUAAACUUCUUUUGUGCGGGAGCAAUAAUGGUCACGUGUGGCCAGACGAGAGUACCGUACGAAGAAGCAUCGGGUAACUCCGUGCCAGCAGCCGCGGUAAUACGGAGGAUUAGAGCGUUAACCGGAUUUAUUGGGUUUUAAGGGUGCGUUGGCGGAUCGUUAAGUUUGUGGUGAAAUUCAGGGGCUAAACCCUUACCCGCCAUUGAAACUGGCGCUCUUGAGUGGAAGAGAAGUAUGCGGAAUGCGUGGUGUAGCGGUGAAAUGCAUAGAUAUCACGCAGAACCCCGAUUGCGAAGGCAGCAUGCCGGCUUCCGACUGACGCUGAGGCACGAAAGCGUGGGGAUCGAACAGGAUUAGAUACCCGUGUAGUC
rnacentral:rRNA from 1 species